AUCUCAUAGCAGAAUGGGAGACUUGACUGAAGUUAAAUCUUUGGACAUUGAGCCCAUCUAUUUCUUCGAUCAGAUGAAACCAAAAAGAAAGAAAUGGAAAAAGAGAGAGUGUGAAGACCAUUUCCUCUAUUUGAGACACACCUCAGGAGCUACUUAUAGCCAUACAGAGAGUAUACUUUCUAAAGAACUAAAGGAAAAAAGACUAACUACGGUAGCUGAAGCUGAGAAGCAAGAUGCGUUCUACUCAUUUGACAUCUCAACAACUCCUACUGUUGCCCAGUUUUCUCCCCCAUUAUCCAAGACACACCUGCAAAAGGAUCUAUUUGAGGAAUAUAAACUCAUUGCUUCUGAAAUACUGCAUGAACUUGGGGAGGUACUGCAGAAGUAUGCAGAGUAUCACAUUAUUUACCCUGAGGGAAUUGUAAAUCUUAUGAAUUACAGUUGGCAUGAUCUUAUUGAAGGUGCUUCUAAGUGUGCAUCCAAAAGUUCAGGCUUGAAGAAAAACACUGCCUUGCAAAGAGAUCCCAGUUCCGUGACCCAAAUCAGCAGCUUUUCGAGAGAGGAAUAUCAUAAGGAAAAGCAUCUUGUGAAAGCAAAAAAAGACCAUGAUGCUUCAUCUGCUCUUGUCGACCAAAACCAAAAUGCCCACAUACCCCAGGAUAACAAUUUACCUGUUGUCAUCCACUUCUCGCUGUUAUCCAAGAUCUGUUUAGAAAAUGGUUGGAUCUUUCAAUAUCCUGACUCAAAAUUGGAAAUUCUGAAAUGGAAGACAAUCCUCAGUACUGCUGUGAAGAGACUACAAGAAGCCACCAUUCAAAUAAAAGCAGAAGAAGCAAAGCUUAAAAAAGAGGGAUUCAACAAACAACUUACCUUGCUCUACUAUAAUGAUCCUAAAUGUGUGGUGAAGGUGAGCAGCAGCCCCCACGUUUCUCAAUGUUUCUGGCUGGAGCUGCUCAAGAGGAAGACUGAGAUGCCAGUGGUCCAAGAGGCUGACCCAGAGAUGAAGAAGUUCCAUUACACACUGGUAGAUGGUUCUUCUCUGACAUAAUAUCCUUUUGAAAUCCCAAAAGGAAAGGAGGAUGGAGGAAGCCAGCAUGAUGGAAGGGACUGAUGGGUAGGACAUUUCUGUUUGAUCAGAAAAUUGCAUUGGAAAAGGGAGUCUGGUGCCUUACUCAUUCUUUUUCUCCCACGGUCCAUGUUCCCUUGUGCUGGGGACAAGUCAAAGCAAGAAAGAGGUUGGGGAAAUUCUCCAAUUUGCAAGCCUUACUUCUAUUUAAGAGAACCUCUGGUUGUAGCUGAUAUUUCUGUUAAGCACCUAAGGGCUCACAUGGUUCUAAGAAAAUGAGUUUGCCUUCAUUUUCCUGAUUAGUAGAGAGAACCACAUGGGGAUUUAGCAUCAAGAGGACCUACCUUGAAAAGGUAGAAAGAAAAGAGACUUCAUACAAAUCCAAAAUGAAGAAGACCUCAGGAGAUUGGUACAGUUAGAUUUUGUGAACUUCUUCACAUAUCCUUAGUUAUCCCUCAGCCCUGCUCUGCCCUCAUCUGUCUGUAGAUGUUGUCAGGGAGACACAAUCCUCCUGCAGCAUGCUGUAGGGUCAUACUGGGUAGCAAUGGGCAACUUUGGUUUCUAGUCACUCUUCUACUAAUAGGACCAGUCUAACCAGACUUCCCUCUUAUUAUUCACAAGAUUGGUUUCAAAGAAUUUGGGGCUAAAAUGCGGGUGCCAAGAGCUGAUGGUUAUCAGAAGGGAGGUGAGUGUGACUGGGAGGCUGGGGGGAUUAAACAGGUGAUGGUGAUUAAGGAGGGCACUUGUGAUGAGCACUGGGUGUUGUAUGUAAGUGUUGAAUUACUAAAUUCUAUACCUGAAAUUAAUAAAUAAAUAAAAUGAGGGUGCACGUAAUGUGGACAUAUGGGAAGAGCAUGCAAGUGAGAAUCAGGGAACCCAGUUGCUGGCCUGGCACUGCCAUUAUUAUCCUCAAUGACCACAGGAAAGUGAGUCACCCUCUCUGGACUUCUGUUAGCUUAUUUGUAAAGAGAUAAUUAAAAAAAAAUUAAAUUGUAUGUGAGUUAACAUCAUUCCAAAUAAGAAUAAUUAUAAGAAUAAUUAUUACCAUCAUUGUUUUUUCUCAUCAGUAUCCGUUCCUUAACCUGGAUUUUAUCUAUCCUUCUGGCCGUCUAGCUGUCUGCCAAAGCUAUUCUGCCCUCCCUGGGGGUGGCAUGUACACCAACAUAUUCAGUGACUUGCCAAAUCAAGUUAUCCUUGGAACCUUUACACCUUCUGGACGUGGUAGCAUUUCUUUUCCUAAUAGGUAUGUGAGAUGCCAGGCAAACUAGAACGUGUGGGAGUAGAGCAAGAGCUAAAUCCCAACAGAGGGAAGGACGGGAAAGUAAUCUUUUAAAUGAUCAGUCUAACUGGGAAAGCAGGAAAGGAAAAUGAAACACAUGCAUGUGGUCACAGCAGCUCCAGGCACAGACUGGCUGGUUGCAACAGGUCAGAGGACCACCAGUCUCCCAGCAUCCUGCUGUGCCAUCCACGCGGAGACGCCAUGGCUCUCAAGAGUAUGUGGCCCUAUAGGAAGGCAAGGCCCCAAGAAUACAAAUUGCUGCAAAGUAAUACAGGAAGACUGUUGUUUGGUGAGCCUGGUGUCAGCUGGCCUCCCUGCCCCCUGAAGAACAAGAUCGCACUGGCAGCAUGCCAUCCCAUGCCCUAGGAAAGCCUCACAUCCUCUUCAGCAUUGCCGCCAAAUUCUUAGGGGUUAUGAUCUUGUGGUCUUCUCUGAAUUUCAUACCCUUUCUCCUCUGAACUUUGUUCUCCACUCUGUCUUGAACCGUGGGUUUAUUUUGGCUCUUUUGUUUAAACCGAUUAGAAAAUUCGCUCUUUUUUUUUCUUUUUUCCACAUAAAACCCACUCACUGAAGGCCUCUGUGAGGAAGGCUGAGUUUGUUAGUGAUUUGGGUCACAGGAAGCUUAUUGCAUAGUAUAGCAAACAUCUCAAAUGAAGUAUAAAAUAUAGGAAUGUGUUUUUUCUUAAAUAAAGAUCUUAUUUGUUUAUUUGAGAGAGCACAAGAGAGAGGAAAGAGCAGAGAGAGAGCAGACUCUGCACUGAACAGAGCAUGGAGCCUGAUAUGGGGCUCUAUCUCACGGCCUCGAAAUCAUGAUCUGAAAUCACGAGUCAGGUGUUUAACUGACUGAGUCCCCCAGGCACCCCUGUAGGAAUGUGUUCUUUUUUUUUUUUUCCAACCAGACAAUGUUAUGUUUAUUGUUUCCAUUUAAAAGGGUGAUAGGAGGCGGCCCCUGUCUGUCCAAUAAAUAAAUAAAAUCUUUAAACAAAUAAAUAAAAGGGUAACAAGAUAAAGCAAAGAUGUAUAAUAACAAGGAAAGGUCUAGAGUUUAAACCCAGAUAUCUGGAUUUAAAUGUUUUCUUUACUUGCUUUGUGAUCCUGAAAAAUAUUAUUCAACCUCUUGAAACUUUGGUUUCCUUAUCUACAAAAUGGGAAUUUUAAUCCCCACCUUAAGGAUUUUAAGGAUUUAAUGAAACAACGUAGGCAAAAUUGUAGAAAUGUGUUCUUAAAAGUGUUUCAUCCAUCCUAUGUGUUGUCCAAUUUUUCAUUUUCCUCUCCAAGAUCCUCUUGUUUUUCUUUUCCUUUCUAUUUUAGGAGCCGCUUUUCCCUUUUCAUCCGCCACCUUGAAAUCUUUCCAUUUUCUUAUGAAAGAGAAGUUCAACUCUUUAUAGCUCUGUGCCCAACCAGCUAACAUUUGCAUUUUCAAGCAUUUAGCUAACAAUCUGGACAUGUUGUCCUGGGAGUAAGGUGAGGAGAUGGGAGAGGGAUCAAGGAAGAGGGGGUGAGGGCGCCUGGGUGGCUCAGUGGGUUAAGCCGCUGCCUUCGGCUCAGGUCAUGAUCUCAGGGUCCUGGGAUCGAGUCCCGCAUCGGGCUCUCNNNNNNNNNNNNN
rnacentral:lncRNA from 1 species